CGGGAGGCAGCAGUGGGGAAUUUUGGACAAUGGGGGCAACCCUGAUCCAGCCAUCCCGCGUGUGCGAUGAAGGCCUUCGGGUUGUAAAGCACUUUUGGCAGGAAAGAAACGGCCCUGGUUAAUACCUGGGGCAACUGACGGUACCUGCAGAAUAAGCACCGGCUAACUACGUGCCAGCAGCCGCGGUAAUACGUAGGGUGCAAGCGUUAAUCGGAAUUACUGGGCGUAAAGCGUGCGCAGGCGGUUCGGAAAGAAAGAUGUGAAAUCCCAGGGCUUAACCUUGGAACUGCAUUUUUAACUACCGGGCUAGAGUGUGUCAGAGGGAGGUGGAAUUCCGCGUGUAGCAGUGAAAUGCGUAGAGAUGCGGAGGAACACCGAUGGCGAAGGCAGCCUCCUGGGAUAACACUGACGCUCAUGCACGAAAGCGUGGGGAGCAAACAGGAUUAGAUACCCUGGUAGUCCACGCCCUAAACGAUGUCAACUAGCUGUUGGGGGCUUCGGCCCUUGGUAGCGCAGCUAACGCGUGAAGUUGACCGCCUGGGGAGUACGGUCGCAAGAUUAAAACUCAAAGGAAUUGACGGGGACCCGCACAAGCGGUGGAUGAUGUGGAUUAAUUCGAUGCAACGCGAAAAACCUUACCUACCCUUGACAUGUCUGGAAUGCCGAAGAGAUU
rnacentral:rRNA from 1 species